AACCUCCGCAAUGUGAGAAAUCGCGACGGGGGGAUCCCAAGUGCCAUUCUUAACGGGAUGGCUUUUCUUAAGUGUAAAAAGCUUUUGGAAUAAGAGCUGGGCAAGACCGGUGCCAGCCGCCGCGGUAACACCGGCAGCUCUAGUGGUAGCUGUUUUUAUUGGGCCUAAAGCGUUCGUAGCCGGUUUGAUAAGUCACUGGUGAAAUCCUGUAGCUUAACUGUGGGAAUUGCUGGUGAUACUGUUGAACUUGAGGUCGGGAGAGGUUAGCGGUACUCCCAGGGUAGAGGUGAAAUUCUGUAAUCCUGGGAGGACCGCCUGUUGCGAAGGCGUCUAACUGGAACGGUUCUGACGGUGAGGGACGAAAGUUAGGGGCGCGAACCGGAUUAGAUACCCGGGUAGUCCUAACUGUAAACGAUGCGGACUUGGUGUUGGGGUGGCUUUGAGCUGCUCCAGUGCCGAAGGGAAGCUGUUAAGUCCGCCGCCUGGGAAGUACGGUCGCAAGACUGAAACUUAAGGAAUU
rnacentral:rRNA from 1 species